rnacentral:rRNA from 1 species
AAAUUGAAGAGUUUGAUCAUGGCUCAGAUUGAACGCUGGCGGCAGGCCUAACACAUGCAAGUCGAACGGUAACAGGAAGCAGCUUGCUGCUUCGCUGACGAGUGGCGGACGGGUGAGUAAUGUCUGGGAAACUGCCUGAUGGAGGGGGAUAACUACUGGAAACGGUGGCUAAUACCGCAUAACGUCGCAAGACCAAAGAGGGGGACCUUCGGGCCUCUUGCCAUCAGAUGUGCCCAGAUGGGAUUAGCUUGUUGGUGAGGUAACGGCUCACCAAGGCGACGAUCCCUAGCUGGUCUGAGAGGAUGACCAGCCACACUGGAACUGAGACACGGUCCAGACUCCUACGGGAGGCAGCAGUGGGGAAUAUUGCACAAUGGGCGCAAGCCUGAUGCAGCCAUGCCGCGUGUAUGAAGAAGGCCUUCGGGUUGUAAAGUACUUUCAGCGGGGAGGAAGGUGUUGUGGUUAAUAACCGCAGCAAUUGACGUUACCCGCAGAAGAAGCACCGGCUAACUCCGUGCCAGCAGCCGCGGUAAUACGGAGGGUGCAAGCGUUAAUCGGAAUUACUGGGCGUAAAGCGCACGCAGGCGGUCUGUCAAGUCGGAUGUGAAAUCCCCGGGCUCAACCUGGGAACUGCAUUCGAAACUGGCAGGCUUGAGUCUUGUAGAGGGGGGUAGAAUUCCAGGAGUAGCGUUGAACUGCGUAUAGAUCUGGAGGAAUACCGGUGGCGAAGGCGGCCCCCUCGACAAAGACUGACGCUCAGGUGCGAAAGCGUGGGGAGCAAACAGGAUUAGAUACCCUGGUAGUCCACGCCGUAAACGAUGUCUACUUGGAGGUUGUGCCCUUGAGGCGUGGCUUCCGGAGCUAACGCGUUAAGUAGACCGCCUGGGGAGUACGGCCGCAAGGUUAAAACUCAAAUGAAUUGACGGGGGCCCGCACAAGCGGUGGAGCAUGUGGUUUAAUUCGAUGCAACGCGAAGAACCUUACCUGGUCUUGACAUCCACAGAAGAAUCCAGAGAUGGAUUUGUGCCUUCGGGAACUGUGAGACAGGUGCUGCAUGGCUGUCGUCAGCUCGUGUUGUGAAAUGUUGGGUUAAGUCCCGCAACGAGCGCAACCCUUAUCCUUUGUUGCCAGCGAUUAGGUCGGGAACUCAAAGGAGACUGCCAGUGAUAAACUGGAGGAAGGUGGGGAUGACGUCAAGUCAUCAUGGCCCUUACGACCAGGGCUACACACGUGCUACAAUGGCGCAUACAAAGAGAAGCGACCUCGCGAGAGCAAGCGGACCUCAUAAAGUGCGUCGUAGUCCGGAUUGGAGUCUGCAACUCGACUCCAUGAAGUCGGAAUCGCUAGUAAUCGUGGAUCAGAAUGCCACGGUGAAUACGUUCCCGGGCCUUGUACACACCGCCCGUCACACCAUGGGAGUGGGUUGCAAAAGAAGUAGGUAGCUUAACCUUCGGGAGGGCGCUUACCACUUUGUGAUUCAUGACUGGGGUGAAGUCGUAACAAGGUAACCGUAGGGGAACCUGCGGUUGGAUCACCUCCUUACCUUAAAGAA